CGCACGAACGCUCAAAAUGGCACCGGCCACAAGCUCGUUUUUGGAAAGGUCUAUACGAGCUUGUGGCCGGUGCCAUUUUGAGCGUUCGUGCG
rnacentral:pre_miRNA from 1 species